rnacentral:rRNA from 2 species
GGAUCCUGACUUUGAUUAUGGCUCAGGGUGAACGCUAGCUACAGGCUUAACACAUGCAAGUCGAGGGGAAACGAUAGAGAAAGCUUGCUUUUUCUAGGCGUCGACCGGCGCACGGGUGAGUAACGCGUAUCCAACCUGCCCAUCACUUGGGGAUAACCUUGCGAAAGUAAGACUAAUACCCAAUGACGUCUCUAGAAGACAUCUGAAAGAGAUUAAAGAUUUAUCGGUGAUGGAUGGGGAUGCGUCUGAUUAGCUUGUUGGCGGGGUAACGGCCCACCAAGGCGACGAUCAGUAGGGGUUCUGAGAGGAAGGUCCCCCACAUUGGAACUGAGACACGGUCCAAACUCCUACGGGAGGCAGCAGUGAGGAAUAUUGGUCAAUGGACGAGAGUCUGAACCAGCCAAGUAGCGUGCAGGAAGACGGCCCUAUGGGUUGUAAACUGCUUUUAUAAGGGAACAAAGUGAGUCUCGUGAGACUUUUUGCAUGUACCUUAUGAAUAAGGACCGGCUAAUUCCGUGCCAGCAGCCGCGGUAAUACGGAAGGUCCGGGCGUUAUCCGGAUUUAUUGGGUUUAAAGGGAGCGUAGGCCGGAGAUUAAGCGUGUUGUGAAAUGUAGACGCUCAACGUCUGCACUGCAGCGCGAACUGGUUUCCUUGAGUACGCACAAAGUGGGCGGAAUUCGUGGUGUAGCGGUGAAAUGCUUAGAUAUCACGAAGAACUCCGAUUGCGAAGGCAGCUCACUGGAGCGCAACUGACGCUGAAGCUCGAAAGUGCGGGUAUCGAACAGGAUUAGAUACCCUGGUAGUCCGCACGGUAAACGAUGGAUGCCCGCUGUUGGUCUGAAUAGGUCAGCGGCCAAGCGAAAGCAUUAAGCAUCCCACCUGGGGAGUACGCCGGCAACGGUGCAACUCAAAGGAAUUGACGG